UCCACCGAUCAAUUUGAGCUAUAGUUGAUUGUGUGAAGAGUUCUUCCUAUCCCCAUUUUCAAGUUACUAUUCAUCAAGGGAAAAAAAUUGAGUUUUGGAUGGAGCUUUGCUUAGAGGUUGCUCUCUAGGCUUUGUACAAGUGUUUAGAGGUGUACCUAGGGACUGAAAAGGAUCGGAAUCUCUUGAAGAUAUAUAAGUAACUUGUGCCACAAGUAAGCGGAUUGAAAAAAAAACUUCAAGAGGUGUCCAGAUUCCCGGUGAGUCCUCACUAGGCAGGGACGCGACCCGUGAUUGAGGCGUUGGGACAGAUCAGUUUUUGAGUAGCUGUAGGCUACUAACCUUUUGGAGUGCAUUUAUGU